UACGUAGGGUGCAAGCGUUGUCCGGAAUUAUUGGGCGUAAAGAGCUCGUAGGCGGUCUGUCGCGUCUGCUGUGAAAACCUAGGGCUUAACUCUGGGCGUGCAGUGGGUACGGGCAGGCUAGAGUGCGGUAGGGGAGAUUGGAAUUCCUGGUGUAGCGGUGGAAUGCGCAGAUAUCAGGAGGAACACCAAUGGCGAAGGCAGGUCUCUGGGCCGUAACUGACGCUGAGGAGCGAAAGCAUGGGGAGCGAACAGG
rnacentral:rRNA from 1 species